UCACUUACCUGGCGGCGGUCCCUGUAGCUCACAAAUUAUGGGGAGUCGACUUUUGGACUGGGCAUUGCACAGCGUUUGGUACAUGGUCGCAAAUGUACCUUCGGGUCAUUUGGUCGCAUAAUCUUUGAUGGCGUCCGAAAGGACU
rnacentral:snRNA from 18 species